UAUGUGGGAGAUUGAUUGCAAGAGACUGGACAAGAUUCACAUUUACGCUUUGACUGUUUCAAUUCAGGACAGAUUUAGAAAAAAAGUCUAAUGGAAAUGUAUAGAAAUAUGCUUGACAUAUUAUGAAAACUUGUUCAACCAUUUUGCAUGUAAAGACUUAUGCAAUGAACUAAUGCCUACAUGUUGUGGGGGUGAGACUAUUCAAUAGAGACCCAUUACAAUACAUUUUGAUCAACAUGACAUAAGCAAUUGAUAAUGUAGGAAAGAGCAGAGAAUUGUACAUAAUCAUUUGCAUGAAUGUACCAAAGCAUUUGCAACUUG